rnacentral:rRNA from 1 species
UGUGGACGCUGGCGGCGUGCUUAACACAUGCAAGUCGAACGCGAAAGGGGAGCAAUCCCCGAGUAGAGUGGCGAACGGGUGAGUAAUGUGUGGAUAAUCUGCCUUUCAGAGGGGGAUAACCUGGCGAAAGCCGGGCUAAUACCGCGUAAUGUUGCAUUAUCUUUGGAUGAUGUGAUCAAAGGAUGGCCUCUGCUUGCAAGCCAUCGCUGAAAGAUGAGUCCACAUCCUAUCACGCUUGUUGGUGGGGUAAUGGCCCACCAAGGCGACGACGGGUAGCCGGCCUGAGAGGGUGUCCGGCCACACUGGAACUGAGACACGGUCCAGACUCCUACGGGAGGCAGCAGUGGGGAAUUUUCGCAAUGGGCGCAAGCCUGACGGAGCAACGCCGCGUGAGGGAUGAAGGCCCUAGCGGUCGUAAACCUCUGUCUAGCGGGACGAAAAUCAUCAGAGCAAAUAGUUCUGGUGAUUGACUGUACCGCGU